GCAUCUCGCCGACGCCUCGCUCGGCCUCAACUCGCCUCGCCACGCCUCGCCCCGCUUGCAGCGGACACCGCCCGCCGAGCUGCGCCGGGCGUCCAGAACGAGAUCAGUCAACAUCAACGCAGCUCUUUCUGUUUCAAGCUGUUGUUCAACACGACCCUGUUGUUACAGUCUUUUAGGUUAG